rnacentral:tRNA from 1 species
GUGGUAAUUCAGUGAUAGAAUUCUUACCUUCCAUGUAAGAGACCCAGGUUUUAUUCUUGGACAUUACA